GAGUUUGAUCCUGGCUCAGGACGAACGCUGGCGGCGUGCCUAACCCAUGCAAGUCGAACGGAGAUUUCAGCAAUGGAGUCUUAGUGGCGAACGGGUGAGUAACGCGUAGACAACCUGCCUUCUAGAUGGGGACAACACUGGGAAACUAGUGCUAAUACCGAAUGUUGUAUUUUGAGUGCAUACUUGAAAUACUAAAGGUGGCCUCUAUUCAUAAGCUACCACUAGAAGAUGGGUCUGCGUCUGAUUAGCUAGUUGGUGAGGUAAUGGCUCACCAAGGCGACGAUCAGUAGCCGGUCUGAGAGGAUGAACGGCCACAUUGGGACUGAGACAC
rnacentral:rRNA from 1 species